rfam:Aureococcus anophagefferens strain CCMP 1984 chloroplast, complete genome.
GCGGACGUGGCGGAAUUGGUAGACGCGCCAGAUUUAGGCUCUGGUGAGAGUAUCUUGUGAGAGUUCGAGUCUCUCCGUCCGCA